GACGGGGGAUGCGAGCGUUAUCCGGAAUGAUUGGGCGUAAAGGGUCCGCAGGUGGCCCGGUCAGUCCGCUGUCAAAGCCUGGGGCUCAACCCUGGAGAGGCGGCGGAGACCACCGGGCUCGAGUCCGGUAGGGGCAGAGGGAAUUCCCGGUGGAGCGGUGAAAUGCGUAGAGAUCGGAAAGAACACCAACGGCGAAAGCACUCUGCUGGGCCGACACUGACACUGAGAGACGAAAGCUAGGGGAGCGAAUGGG
rnacentral:rRNA from 1 species